AGGAGCAACAGCCCUAGUGGGGGGGCCAGCUCUGGAAACCUGGAUUCAGCCCCCGCAGGAACUCCGGAGGUCUCCGUCUGCAGGGCCUGGAGGCUCCGGGGCGGG
rnacentral:pre_miRNA from 1 species